GCCUACGGGGGGCAGCAGUGGGGGAUAUUGCACAAUGGGGGGAACCCUGAUGCAGCGACGCCGCGUGGGUGAAGAAGCGCCUCGGCGCGUAAAGCCCUGUCAGCAGGGAAGAAAAUGACGGUACCUGAAGAAGAAGCCCCGGCUAACUACGUGCCAGCAGCCGCGGUAAUACGUAGGGGGCAAGCGUUAUCCGGAUUUACUGGGUGUAAAGGGAGCGUAGGCGGUUUAGCAAGUCAGAAGUGAAAGCCCGGGGCUCAACUCCGGG
rnacentral:rRNA from 1 species